UUUUCUUUCUUACUUUCUUUCUUCCUCCCCGAUCAGCCCCCCCGCCGAUUUCUCUGCUGCUGCCGGUGCUUCCUCCGCCUGCAGUGCAUCGGCCGACGACGGCGACGUGCGGUGGAGCUCUCCUUUUCUCCCUCUUUUCUUCUUUGCUUGCUCCUUUUUUUUUUUCGUGGGUAUUUUUCUUUGAUGAUUUUUUUUUGCUUGAUUUGCUUUCUUUGGUGGUAGUAGAUGGGAGUAUAACGAUGGUGGCGGUUUGACGACGCACGGUGGUGAUGAGGCUGCUGUUUUUGCUUGAUUUUUCUCUCAAAAAUUUUGUUGUUUUUUUCUUUUUGCUUCCUUGCCUGGCUCCUUUUUUGGGGGGUUUAAAACCCCUUUUUAACUGAUUUUUCUUCUUCUUUUUUGCAGGUUGCAGGUGGCUAGGGAGAGGUAGGCCGGCCGCCGCCGUUGCAGGCGCAAGUUGGGCUGAUUGCUGCCACAGGGACCAAAUCGUAAAUGCAGCAAAAUUUUUGGGGCAAAAGUGUAAUUUUAUAAAGUUUAGAGGUUAAAAUAUAAUUUGGAGAACAUUUAGGGGUCAAAAUGUAAUUUAAAAAAGUUUAGGGGUUGAAGUAUAAUUUUGAGAAAGUUUAGGGGUCAAAAUGAAAUUUUAGAAAAGUUUAGGGGUCAAAUGCAAAAAAAUUAAAAAAUUUUUUUUUUUAAAAAACGAAAGUUAUUCCUGGACAAAAUUCAGUGAUUACAAGGAGGAUUGAAGCCCAGUAAGUUAGGGCACAAUCCUCUCGAGAAUCUUAGAUACCAAGUAUUUUGAACAUUUAUGUGCAAAACGAUUUCGAUAUUUUUCUAAACAAAUGUAAUGCGAUUGAAUGGUAGUGCAUAAUUCAAAAUGAUAAUUCAUAAAUUACG
rnacentral:lncRNA from 1 species